rnacentral:rRNA from 1 species
UACGUAGGGUGCAAGCGUUGUCCGGAAUUAUUGGGCGUAAAGAGCUCGUAGGCGGUCUGUUGCGUCCGCUGUGAAAACUCGGGGCUUAACCCCGAGCCUGCAGUGGAUACGGGCAGACUAGAGGUAGGUAGGGGAGAAUGGAAUUCCCGGUGUAGCGGUGAAAUGCGCAGAUAUCGGGAGGAACACCGGUGGCGAAGGCGGUUCUCUGGGCCUUACCUGACGCUGAGGAGCGAAGGCCAGGGGAGCAAACAGG